AAUCUCUCCAUCAAACUCUACGGAGAGAGUACCCUCAUCUACAUUGAUCUUUUUUUUGGCAGUUUUCAUGAAUGGUCAUCCUAACAAAAUCGAAGCUGAUUUUGAUGAAGAAUUACCAUCCAUUUCCAAAAUGUAAAAGUCGACGGGAAAUAUGAGCUCAUUAGCCUGCACCAAAACAUCUUCAACAACUCCAAGGGGAUGAAUGAAAGAACGAUCAGCUAAUUGAAU
rnacentral:lncRNA from 1 species